CUUCUCAUGGCGUAGUGGUUAACGCGCCCCAACUAGAGAUCGGGGAGUCGUGAGUUCGAUUCUCACUGAGAAGA
rfam:Aedes aegypti strain Liverpool supercont1.31 genomic scaffold, whole genome shotgun sequence.